AUAUUGCACAAUGGGCGAAAGCCUGAUGCAGCAACGCCGCGUGAAUGAUGAAGGCCUNNNGGUCGNACAGUUCUUUGAUCAGGNAUGNUAAUGACAGUACCUGAAAAACAAGCCACGGCUAACUACGUGCCAGCAGCCGCGGUAAUACGUAGGUGGCGAGCGUGGUCCGGAAUUACUGGGCGUAAAGGAUGCGUGGGUGGAUACUUAAGUGGGAUGUGAAAUCCCCGGGCUCAACCCGGGAACUGCAUUCCAAACUGGGUAUCUAGAGUGCAGGAGAGGAAAGCGGAAUUCCUAGUGUAGCGGUGAAAUGCGUAGAUAUUAGGAGGAACACCAGUGGCGAAGGCGGCUUUCUGGACUGUAACUGACACUGAGGCAUGAAAGCGUGGGUAGCAAACAGG
rnacentral:rRNA from 1 species